CAAUUCCCUAAUUUGCUCCUUGAUUUUUGGCCAAAUUCGAAGUUUGAAUUUCAUUCAAACUCCCAACCGAUCAGCAGAGCCUUAUCCACCUGCUUGCACCGCUUCAGCCUGCUGCCAAGAGUCCUGGUCAGACCCCAACUCCUUCCCCAUGCGUGCAGCAAAAACCCAGCAUUUCCUGCACGAGAUGAGCUCGAACUCCAAACCUCGUCCGCCCAUGUGCCUUCACUUGAGCUGCUGGC
rnacentral:lncRNA from 1 species